GUCGGACUAGGCUGCGCCGGGGAGUAAACAAGUGGCGGCCAGGGGCGGGCCGGGGGCGUGGGGCUCCGGGCCCCGCCGAGUCUGCUGCGGCUCCGGAUGCGCGGGGUGGCAGUGGCCGGGAGGACGCGGGGCGGCGGGCAGGGCCUCCCAAGCCCGGCUGUCCUCGGCCCGUGCGCGGCGCCCGGAGUCCCACUCCUCCCGAUGCUGUCCCCCGCGCCCGGAGGCCGAGCCAAUUCUCUGGGAAGUUCCCGGCUUGGGAGCGGAGCGGCCGGUCGGAAGAACCUCGGGUGCUGGCGCGCCUGAAGUUGCAGACCAGACUGAAAUGUGCGAGACAUGUGCCUUUUUCUUAGGAAAGGCCCCAGGAGCAGAGUGGAGCUCAGAAAGACUCAGCGUGGGUGCUGGGUUCCGGCGCGACCAGCCUGAUACCUAGGUCAGCAUCUCAGCCACACAAGCAGGCGGCAGUUCUGUCAGGAAUUACUACAUCUGGUGAUUCCACUUCUCAUAGCUCACCGCUGGGAGAAUAAUUCCUCAGGAUUAACAAGAUCUAUUCCAGAGGAUCCUCACUGCUGAAGCGAUUUUAGAAGACAGUGUGGUCUGUUGACAGUAUGGAAUAUUCUUUACCCAUCAGAUAUGAUCUGUAUGUGAUUGGAAGGAAAUAAACCAACUGCUAACA
rnacentral:lncRNA from 1 species